GUCAUAAAGGAGGGAUGGAAGGUGCAGCCCCUCUCCCCAGCCCAGCUGUAGCAGCUCUGGGGCUCUCAGCCUUCCUGCCAGGCAGGGAAACUGUCUUUUUCAUCUGAUAUCAUGGGUGCAAAAAGUGCACGUUGUUAAUCAGCUAGCGCUACAAAGGAAAAAAAUAUUGAAAAUUCCCAAAUGAACAACAAAGAACCCUCACCCACCCACCUUGGGAAACCUGAAGGUUAAGACUGCUACACAGAGCCUUAAACUUGCAAAAGGGAUUUGUGAGCAGCCUGCUUGUCAAGAACAAAUACUAGUCAAAAGAAAUGCGUGACUUAUUGACCUCGGGUUCACUGAACCUUCAUCUUGAUGCUUCCGUACCACUAAGGAAUCAGCUUCUCUGAAAAUUAAAGUUCCCAGAUUAGAAUAGAAGCUUCAACAAAGGACCUGUGUGGCUUUACAAAUACACAUCGAUUAGAGGACUUUGGAAGAGCUUUGUUAGAAAAGUGGAAUUAUGAAAAGCAAAUGUUUGAGAGAUUUGGUGCAGAGUAACAGAUGUACCUUCCCUCUGGUGUGCUGGGUGACUCUUCUGCUUCUUGAUCCCUGUUUGUGGCAAACACACAGAUUAAAAGGAGGAGGAGGGAGCUGUGUGCCCUGCUUGAGCUCUGGGUAGGCUGUGGAGGAUGCAGUGUGCAUUGCUCCGUGGAAAAGAUCCUGUAGCAUCAGCUCCCUCCCUGCUCCAGACUGAUGGUAACUGAAAAUACUGCACAGUCUUUCGCAUCUGAAAGACCACGGCUGGCUGCCAUUAAUUUUAAUGCUAAAUCCUCAUCAGCAUUUCAAAAUAUUAUGAAAAUAUCUAAGAAACUGUCUUCUAGUGGCUUGAAAAUAUCGCAGGCAGCAACCUAAAUAAUACUUUUGCAUAGGAACUGGGACAAGAACUCUCCAAGCAAAUAGAGUCAAAAUGUCUGCGACUGCUGGGAAAUCCCAGGGCUCCCAGGGUGGGGAAAAGUGUGGAGUUCAAAACAAAGGCAAGGAUAGGAAACUUCCUUCAGCUCCUGUGCUGCUUUCCCUCUCUUUGAUUAGACAUCAGGUUGAAGUAUCAUCAACAGCGUGAAUUCUGAAGAAUACAAGAGAAUGCACUUCAGGUUACAAAGCCUGCCUUUUAUUCAGGUAUUAAAAAAAGAAGCCACUAGACUAUUCUUGAAAUAAAUCACCGAGGGGGUUAGGCAGGGGCUGGAGGUGCACACACACUACAUUUUUCAUCGCCAGCUCCUCGUAGCCAAGGCGUGUUGUCAAGACCAUCCUUGGAGAAGCACUUCCCUCUCUCCAUGGUGACAUCGUUAACGCUGAUGGCUGGAACUGACCACAAAGCCCAGACCUUUAGUCCCCACCUGAUCUUCCCCAGUGUUUAUCCACUGCUGGCCUGACCACACAGCAGCCUAAUGAGCAUUACACUUGACAAAUAUUGUCAUGCCUAAGCAGGAGAUAGUGAUUCUGCUAAGACAAGCAGCAAGCCUGGGGGCACGUCAUGCUCAAAUAGGAAAGUUGGGAAUUAAUAUUAAUUCUCUUCCGCUCACUAGGGGCCUGAUCCAGAUCCCUGAUGUCGGUAAAGUCUUUCCACUGUGAGCUUUGCCGCCUUCCCAUGAAGCAGCACUUCAAAACAAAAUACAAUCAAGGAGUAUAAUAAUAAAUUUGACAGUAAUAGCAGAUGGUGCAAGCUGUUUUUUAUCUGGGAUCAGGACUGUUCCAGUAGAUGGACGAGGCACUGAUUUGAGAUGAAAAAACACAGGUCCUAAUUCCUUCUAGAUUUUACUGUCUGGAGUCUUGAUUUAUGUUGGAUAGCAUUCCAAUUUUUAUGUGCUAGAGCAGGACGUGGUGAGCAAUUUAGAAGAAAUGAGAACUUGUGAUUCUCUUUGUCUGUUUGCCUGUCAUGUAAAGCUCUGUGUGGCUUUUGUGUCCAGUCUGCUUUGGAAAAACUCUCCUCUCCCCACACCAAGGCUGCUCAUAAAUCCCUGGGAAUUGUAGUACCUGUGCUGCUGGGUUGCCUUCC